rnacentral:rRNA from 1 species
UACGGAGGGCGCGAACGUUGCUCGGAAUCAUUGGGCGUAAAGCGCACGUAGGCGGCCUGAUAAGUCGGAUGUGAAAGCCCUCGGCUUAACCGAGGAAGUGCAUUCGAAACUGUCAGGCUUGAGUAUGGGAGAGGGUUGCGGAAUUCCCGGUGUAGAGGUGAAAUUCGUAGAUAUCGGGAGGAACACCAGCGGCGAAGGCGGCAGCCUGGACCAAUACUGACGCUGAGGUGCGAAAGCGUGGGGAGCAAAC